rnacentral:rRNA from 1 species
AGCGGCGGAGCAUGUGGCUUAAUUCGACGCAACGCGAAGAACCUUACCAAGGCUUGACAUACACCGGAAACGUCCAGAGAUGGGCGCCCCCUUGUGGUCGGUGUACAGGUGGUGCAUGGCUGUCGUCAGCUCGUGUCGUGAGAUGUUGGGUUAAGUCCCGCAACGAGCGCAACCCUUGUCCCGUGUUGCCAGCAGGCCCUUGUGGUGCUGGGGACUCACGGGAGACCGCCGGGGUCAACUCGGAGGAAGGUGGGGACGACGUCAAGUCAUCAUGCCCCUUAUGUCUUGGGCUGCACACGUGCUACAAUGGCCGGUACAAUGAGCUGCGAUACCGCGAGGUGGAGCGAAUCUCAAAAAGCCGGUCUCAGUUCGGAUUGGGGUCUGCAACUCGACCCCAUGAAGUCGGAGUCGCUAGUAAUCGCAGAUCAGCAUUGCUGCGGUGAAUACGUUCCCGGGCCUUGUACACACCGCCCGUCACGUCACGAAAGUCGGUAACACCCGAAGCCGGUGGCCCAACCCCUU